UACGGGGGGGGCAAGCGUUGUUCGGAAUUACUGGGCGUAAAGGGUUCGUAGGUGGCCAACUAAGUCAGACGUGAAAUCCCUCAGCUUAACUGGGGAACUGCGUCUGAUACUGGAUGGCUUGAGUGCAGGAGAGGAACGCGGAAUUCCAGGUGUAGCGGUGAAAUACGUAGAUAUCUGGAGGAACACCGGUGGCGAAGGCGGCGUUCUGGACUGCAACUGACACUGAGGAACGAAAGCCAGGGGAGCAAACGGG
rnacentral:rRNA from 1 species